AUUGAACGCUGGCGGCAUGCCUUACACAUGCAAGUCGAACGGCAGCGGGGACUUCGGUCCGCCGGCGAGUGGCGAAUGGGUGAGUAAUGUAUCGGAACGUACCUUUCAGUGGGGGAUAACGUAGCGAAAGUUACGCUAAUACCGCAUAUUCUCUGAGGAGGAAAGCAGGGGACCUUCGGGCCUUGUGCUGAUGGAGCGGCCGAUAUCAGAUUAGCUAGUUGGUGGGGUAAAGGCUCACCAAGGCGACGAUCUGUAGCGGGUCUGAGAGGAUGAUCCGCCACACUGGGACUGAGACACGGCCCAGACUCCUACGGGAGGCAGCAGUGGGGAAUUUUGGACAAUGGGCGCAAGCCUGAUCCAGCCAUGCCGCGUGAGUGAAGGAGGCCUUCGGGUUGUAAAGCUCUUUCGGACGGGAAGAAAUUGGUGGGGCUAAUAUCCCCAUCGGAUGACGGUACCGUAAUAAGAAGCACCGGCUAACUACGUGCCAGCCGCCGCGGUAAAAC
rnacentral:rRNA from 1 species